GUGCCAGCAGCCGCGGUAAUACGUAGGUCCCGAGCGUUGUCCGGAUUUAUUGGGCGUAAAGCGAGCGCAGGUGGUUUAAUAAGUCUGAUGUAAAAGGCAGUGGCUCAACCAUUGUGUGCAUUGGAAACUGUUAGACUUGAGUGCAGUAGAGGAGAGUGGAAUUCCAUGUGUAGCGGUGAAAUGCGUAGAUAUAUGGAGGAACACCGGUGGCGAAAGCGGCUCUCUGGACUGUCACUGACACUGAGGCUCGAAAGCGUGGGUAGCAAACAGGAUUAGAUACCCUGGUAGUCCACGCCGUAAACGAUGAGUGCUAGUUGUUUGGGGCUAUCCAGCCCUAAGUGACGCAGCAAACGCAUUAAGCACUCCGCCUGGGGAGUACGACCGCAAGGUUGAAACUCAAAGGAAUUGACGGGGGCCCGCACAAGCGGUGGAGCAUGUGGUUUAAUUCGAAGCAACGCGAAGAACCUUACCAGGUCUUGACAUACUCGUGCUAUUCCUAGAGAUAGGAAGUUCCUUCGGGACACGGGAUACAGGUGGUGCAUGGUUGUCGUCAGCUCGUGUCGUGAGAUGUUGGGUUAAGUCCCGCAACGAGCGCAACCCCUAUUGUUAGUUGCCAUCAUUAAGUUGGGCACUCUAGCGAGACUGCCGGUAAUAAACCGGAGGAAGGUGGGGAUGACGUCAAAUCAUCAUGCCCCUUAUGACCUGGGCUACACACGUGCUACAAUGGUUGGUACAACGAGUCGCAAGGCAGUGAUGUCAAGCUAAUCUCUUAAAGCCAAUCUCAGUUCGGAUUGUAGGCUGCAACUCGCCUACAUGAAGUCGGAAUCGCUAGUAAUCGCGGAUCAGCACGCCGCGGUGAAUACGUUCCCGGGCCUUGUACACACCGCCCGU
rnacentral:rRNA from 1 species